UACCGGGAUCUUAAUCUACAGUGGCAUUCAAAACUGAGGUUCUGCAUGAUGGAGUGGCCGUCUUUCAGAAUGUCCAACUUCGGCCGGAAAUCAUGCGUCUUCGGAGCCGUGCAUGGUCCCUACGAACAUGAAUUCUUGCCAGUGUCGCACACUGAAGCAUAGCCGGAACUGGAACAUCAAAGACAGCAUGAGUGGUUAUUGGAGAGCUCUGCGCUUGAUGUUCCAGGGUUGAGUGAAGAGCCAAUGAGAUGGCACCUGCUGUGGACCUGUUGCUCUGCUAGGCAAAAUGGAGCGAUUCAAGUUGCUUCCCAAGCAGGAAUUGAUGUGCUUCAUCACCAGCCUCUCAAAACACUUCAUCACUGUGAAUAUUUCCAUUUCUGGAUUUUGAGAUGUACCAUGGAGAGCAUUCUAACUGGUUGCAUCACCAUCUGGUGUGAAGGAGCCACUGCACAGGGUUGGAAAAGGCUGCAGAGGGCUGUAUACUGAGCCAGAUUCACCAUGGGCACUAGCAUCCCCGGCAUUAGGACAUCUUCAAAAGGCGAUGCCUCAAGAAAGUGGCAACCAUCAUUAAAGACCACCAUCACCCAGGUCAUGCCUUCUUCUCAUUGCUACCAUCAGGGAGGAGGUACAGAAGCCUGAAGACAUAGACUCAAUAUUUUAGAAACAGCUUCUAUCCCUCCACUACCAGGACAAUGAACCAACCCAUAAACUCUACCUCACUACUUUUUUGUUUGCUCUCUGUUUGCACUACUUAUUUAACUUAAUUAUUUUUCUAUAUACAUAUAUUAUUUAUUGUAAUUUAUGUUUUUUUAUGCAUUGCAAAAUGAGCCUUGCAGUUGCAAAACAACAAAUGUCACGUGAUAUGCCAGUGAUAUUGAACUUGAUUCUGGCCUGUAUGGUAGAAACUCCAAUUCAGUUUGGAGACACAAGACACUACAGAUGCUGGUUUCUGGAGGGGAUGAAAUCUUCCUGGGGAAUGCAGCAGGUCAGGCAGCAUCUGUAGAGGGAGAUGGACAGUCGACGUUCUGGGUCCAGUACAGAUGAAGAGUGUCAACCUGAAAUGUGAACUGUCCAUUGCCCUUCACAGAUGCUGCCUGGUUUGAAGUGGUAGUUGAAUGUUAAAUGAUGAUAGGGCAGUGGACACUUUCAAUUUAGACUUUAGUAAGGCUUUUGACAAGGUCCCACAUGCUGAUUUGGAAGGUUAGUUCCAAUGGAAUCCAGGGAGAGGCAGUUAUGUGGAUUCAGAAUUGGUUUUGGGGUAGGAGGCAAAGUGUAAUAGUUAAAGGCUGCUUUUUGGAAUGGAGGCCAAUGAUUAGUGGUGUGCCCCAGGGGUCAAUGUUGGGACCCUUGAUAUUAUUAUUUAUAUCAAUAAUUUGGAUGUGAAUGUACAAGGCUUCAUCAAUAAGUAUGUGUUGAAAUAGGGUGUGUUGUAGAUUACAGGGGAUCUUGAUCAAUUAGGGAAAUGGGUCAAUGAGUGUCAAAUAAAUUUCAAUAAGGUAAGUGUGAGAUGGUGAAUUUUGGAAAAUCACGUCAGCAUAGAACUUAUACUAUGAAUGGCAAGGCACUAGUGUGCAUUGGAACAAGUGCAUAGUUUGUUGAAUGUGGAGUCACAGGUAAACAAGGUAGUGGAAAAAGGUGUUUAGUACUCACUGGCCUUCAUCAGUCAGAGUCCUGUGUGUAGGAAUUGCAGUUGAAUACAUUGUUGGUGACAUCACUGUUGUAUACAGUUGGUGUGUAUAGUUUUCAUCACCCUGUUAUAGGAAAGAUAUGGUUAAAUUGGAAAGACUGAAUAAUAUAUUUGCAAGGAUGUUGCUAGGACUAGAAGAACUGAAAUAUUGGAAGAGUUUGACCAGGCUAUGUCUUUAUUACUUGAAACUUGAAAGAUUGAGUGGCAACAUUAUAGAAAUAUUUAAAUUAUGUGAGGCAUGGACACCAGUCUUUUUCCUGGUGGAGGGGAGUCCAAAACUAGGGUGCAUAUGUUUAGAGUGAGAUGCGAAAGAUUUAAAAAUACCUGACAUAUCAAUUUUUUAACGUUGAGGAUUGUGAAUAUAUGGAAUAAGGUGCCAGAGCAAGUGGUUGAACCAGGUACAAUAGUACAGUUAGGAAGCUUUUAGAUAGGUACAUGGUGGGCUGAACCAGGAAAUUGAUACUAGUUAAGUGGGUACCGUGAUCAGCAUGUAUUUCUCCAUGACUCCGAGGCAAUGGUAAAUUUUAAUAGUUAAUUUUUUGGCAGAAUACAUUUAGAAUUUUGGGAUAGGUCAAUUGAUAUCCACAAAAAAGAAAUGGGGGAGAUUAUUUUACAUACUUUACUGAAAAAAUGCCUGGUUGCUAAGGUGAAGCUUUUUUAAAUAAUGCUAUUGUUUUAAUUUUAAAUGCUUUCAAAUUCUGUAUGAAUUUCCCUUCUUAAAACUUUGUAAAUUUUCAAGGUUAUUUAAAAAGUUUUGUUGCGUGUAUCUUUAGAAGUGACAGCAGAUAGAGAAUAUGUAUAAUUUUAUUGCUGCACUCUUACCUUGUGAAAGCAUAUCCAAGAUGGACAUUUUUAUGAUCUAACAUAAUGGCGUUUCUAUGUUUGUGCAAUUGGGGAGUAAUCAUGCAUAGUGCUAGACAGUAGAGCCAUAAGCCAUGGCUAUAAUUGGUAUGAACCUGCACUCCAUAUCCUAAGUAAAAAAAAUACACAAAAUAGUUUCUUAUUAACUCAAAACAGUGU